AUUCGUUUAGUAUAUGAAAGUACAUUUAAUUUCCAAUUAAAAGGACUAAAAUCAAUUAGAAUGAAUA
rnacentral:tRNA from 1 species